rnacentral:rRNA from 1 species
UACGUAGGGUGCGAGCGUUGUCCGGAAUUAUUGGGCGUAAAGAGCUCGUAGGCGGUCUGUCGCGUCGGUCGUGAAAACUUGGGGCUUAACCCUGAGCUUGCGGUCGAUACGGGCAUGACUGGAGUUCGGCAGGGGAGACUGGAAUUCCUGGUGUAGCGGUGAAAUGCGCAGAUAUCAGGAGGAACACCGGUGGUGAAGGCGGGUCUCUGGGCCGAUACUGACGCUGAGGAGCGAAAGCGUGGGGAGCGAACGGG